UACGAAGGGAGCUAGCGUUGUUCGGAAUUACUGGGCGUAAAGCGCAUGCAGGCGGAUCGUUAAGUCGGGGGUGAAAUCCCAGGGCUCAACCCUGGAACUGCCUUCGAUACUGGCGACCUUGAGUCCGGGAGAGGUGAGUGGAACUCCGAGUGUAGAGGUGAAAUUCGUAGAUAUUCGGAAGAACACCAGUGGCGAAGGCGGCUCACUGGCCCGGUACUGACGCUGAGAUGCGAAAGCGUGGGGAGCAAACAGG
rnacentral:rRNA from 1 species